ACGUAUCAGCCACAACAUUACAUAAACCUACACUGAUACAAUUCCAAAUAAAAAAAGAAUCUAACAUUCGGCGUUUUUUGUUUUUGUUUUUUGGUAACUAUUUUUUACCAUUGUAACAGAGUGGACAACAAACACGCUGUAGGUUAGUCGGGGCUGCUUGUAAUACUGUAUUUUGGUAAUGUUAUUUUGGCAGGGA